rnacentral:ncRNA from 1 species
AAAAGGGGAGCUGGGUAUUCCCGGCUGAGAGAGAGCGAAUCGAAGCUCCAGACCCUGGAACCUGAUCCGGAUAAUGCCGGCGUAGGAAGCACG